AUGCAGGUUGUGUUAACCCUCCUUGAGAGCUGUCCUGUUGUAGCAUACCUGCUUCUGAAACCUCGGCUGCGUGUCUGCAGGAUGCUGGGGUGUGGAGCUGUGCAUGUGCGCGUCGCACGGAGCAGACCAUCACGAUGGUGGAAAGCACACUACAGAAAUAGGAGGUGUGUGUGUGUGAGAAGACUGGGGUGAUCAUUGACACGUGGGAGUGAACAAUAUAGGGUUUGAUCCACUACAAACUAACCAAAGAAUCUAUUAAUUGUUUGUUUCGAAGGCUUUUCAUGUAAUUGAGUGAAUAGGGGUAUAUCUGGGAAAAAAACAGGGCUUUUAUUUCACUGCAAGCUUGCUCUGUGCAAUCUUCUUCAUUUCCCUAAGCCAGUGUUCAUCCAUAGCUAUUUUUUUUUUCACUUUCUGUCUAGGGGAGAGGAAGGAAAAGGCAGCCUGCAGAUGCUUUUUAUUAUACAUAUUACAUUUAGGCAAUGAGACCUUGAAUUCACUGAAAGCUGUGAAUGCUAUCACGAUGAAAAUAAAGCAUAUAGUCUCAU
rnacentral:lncRNA from 1 species